AUGUUGUACGCAUGUGGAUUCCAUCAUAUAUGGAUCACGAGACACACUACGUGCUGGGCCGCUGGUCAACCGAGAGGUUUUCUUAGGCGGCAUGGUUGAGUGGUUCAUGGCUUCAAAAACAUAUCAUAAACUUCAUUCGGCGGGGUUUACGGAGACAUUCGACAACCAGGGCUUCUAAGAUUCCGGAGCUUAAGAGGGGCUUGUGUCAGAUCACAAUCUAAGUGAUGCUGCUAAAAAUUGGAGUAAUGCACUAC
rnacentral:lncRNA from 1 species